rnacentral:tRNA from 1 species
UAAAGCAAGGCACUGAAAAUGCCUAGAUGAGUGAAGCCACUCCAUAAACA